AGUGAACGCUGGCGGUAGGCCUAACACAUGCAAGUCGAACGGCAGCACAGUAAGAGCUUGCUCUUACGGGUGGCGAGUGGCGGACGGGUGAGGAAUACAUCGGAAUCUCCUUUUUCGUGGGGGAUAACGUAGGGAAACUUACGCUAAUACCGCAUACGUCCUACGGGUGAAAGCAGGGGAUCUUCGGACCUUGCGCGAUUGAAUGAGCCGAUGUCGGAUUAGCUAGUUGGCGGGGUAAAGGCCCACCAAGGCGACGAUCCGUAGCUGGUCUGAGAGGAUGAUCAGCCACACUGGAACUGAGACACGGUCCAGACUCCUACGGGAGGCAGCAGUGGGGAAUAUUGGACAAUGGGCGCAAGCCUGAUCCAGCCAUACCGCGUGGGUGAAGAAGGCCUUCGGGUUGUAAAGCCCUUUUGUUGGGAAAGAAAAGCAGCAGGUUAAUACCCCGCUGUUCUGACGGUACCCAAAGAAUAAGCACCGGCUAACUUCGUG
rnacentral:rRNA from 1 species